rnacentral:rRNA from 1 species
GCUACGGGCGGCAGCAGUGGGGAAUAUUGGGCAAUGGAGGCAACUCUGACCCAGCAACGCCGCGUGAAUGAUGAAGGUCUUCGGAUUGUAACGUUCUUUUCUAAGGGAAGAAGAAAGUGACGGUUCCUUAGGAAUAAGCCUCGGCUAACUACGUGCCAGCAGCCGCGGUAAUACGUAGGAGGCAAGCGUUAUCCGGAAUGACUGGGCGGAAAGGGUGCGUAGGUGGUGUGACAAGUUAGUAGCGCAACUCCGGAGCUCAAAUUCGGAAAUACUACUAAAACUGUUGGACUUGAUGGCAGGAGGGGCAAUCGGAAGUCCUAGUGUAGCGGUGGAAUGCGUAGUUAUUAGGAGGAACACCAGUGGCGAAGGCGGAUUGCUAGACUGUAACUGACACUGAGGCACGAAAGCGUGGGGAGCAAACAGGAUUAGAUACCCCGGUAGUC